CACUCUUCGCUCAACUUGGCAACCUCGUCGUCAGAAGGAGAGUAGCCACGGACCGCGUCUGUUGCUUUUCCGUCCCGUGUGAAGAACCGCGCUUGAAGAAGGAAAAAAAAGGCCUCGCCGAAACCCAGGAAUCCCGCAAGAUUCCCCUGAACCCCCGUUUUUCGAGUGCUUUGUGCUGGAUACCGCCGACAAAAUGAGCAGCUACGGACGACCUCCGCCGAGGAUCGACGGAAUGGUUUCGCUCAAGGUCGACAACCUGACGUACCGCACGACGCCGGACGACCUGCGGCGGGUGUUCGAGCGCUGCGGCGAGGUGGGCGACAUCUACAUUCCCCGGGACAGGCACACCCGCGAGAGCCGCGGCUUCGCCUUCGUGCGGUUCUACGACAAACGUGACGCCCAGGACGCGCUCGACGCCAUGGAUGGGCGCAUGUUGGACGGCAGGGAGCUCCGCGUCCAGAUGGCCCGCUACGGACGGCCAACGUCGCCAGCACGUGGAUCCGGCGGCGGUGGUGGCCGACGGAACGGCGGAGGAGGCGGUCGCAGCGAACGGGGCCGAUCUCGCGAUCGAGGCGCCCGUCGUCGGUCGCGCUCGCUUGAGCGUGGCAGCGGAGGAGGCGGUGGUGGCGGACGUGGCCGCCGGUCCUACUCCCGUAGCCACUCGCGCAGCCGUGACCGGUCCCACUCGGGCAGCAAAUCGUCCCGUGGCAAGGACUCGCGAUCGCGCAGCCCAAUUGACCGCGCCCACUACUAAGGCGGGUGCUCGCAUUUGUGGGAAGGACCAACCUUUGAUCCAGCCAAAUAACGCAACAGCAGCAAAAUUAUAAUAUAUAACCCCGACGAAGACGACGACGAUGACGAAUGAUGUGUUUACAGUGCACUUCUGUAAGCAAAACAACAACAAUUAUUAAUAUCCAUAUUUCAACGGCGGCGAACGACGACGAAGCGCGCGCAUUGUGUGUGAGUGUGGAGAACUGAGACCGAUAAGAUUAAGGCAGAUCUGGCAAAAAAAGGGCAAAUGCGGUUGCACGCUGGUUCAUUGAAUACUGCUGCUGCUGUUGCGCCUGUAAAAGCAAGAUCAAGAGUCCUGACCGUUCGCGAUCACACCUGAGAGCGAGAGAGAAAUUAACUGAGACUGAGAGAGUUGGUGUGGUGUGGUGUGACCCUUUGGCUGGGCUGUGUUGCGGACCAAAGAACCUGCGCCGCUGAGUUUCGGGGGGUGCCGCGGCUGGCGACUUUUUGCGGUUUGCUGCUCUCCUUCCAAACAAAAAAAAAAUCUGACUUUGCUGUUUGCUGUUGUUGCAACAUCUGUGAGAGUUUAGGAGAGAACUUCAGGAGCCGGUUGUGGCCGAUUUGUUCCGGAAAACCGGUUCCGGCUGCGCUGUGCCUAGCUGGUUGGCUGUCCCGAGGCUUCGCUUCAAUUCCUGCGCGCACUCGGAGUUCGGUGGCGGCGGAUUGCGGCACGCUGCAGAAAUGUUCUUUCUCUCUUUCUUUUUCUUUUCCUCUUCUUUUUUCUCUCUUUAAAACGCAACUUUUCUAGUGUGCUCUCCUGUUGUUUGCUUUCGUUAUUUUUAUUUUUUGUUGGAUCGUCCUAGAGAAUGCUACAACUAGAGACAAUACGUUCCUAGUUACAGCGUUCUCUAGGAAAUUCCAAGUUGAUUUGCAUGGUCCCGAAAAGGACACUCAAAUCAAUCUGAAUUGAUCCGCCUUUUUACGUUUUUUGUUUUUUGUGUAAAACUCAUUUGCUCCUAAGUAUUUUUGCAUGUCUGUACGGAUGGCGCGGUGCACCAAACACCGGCAGGGAGAGAAAGAGAGAAAUUCAGAAAGGGAGAGACAGAGAAUGUGGUGCAGUGCUGAGAGCUGAGCUGAGCCAGACUUGAGAUUUUGGCGAGGAGAGAUUUGGAGAGUUGGCGGACGCAGUGGCGACGCGCGCUAGCUGAAAGAGGUGGGAUUAAACGGGAGCGAAGGUGAAGGAGAAGCAAAGCAAGUUCCGCGAGGGCACGCCCAAGCCGCAAACUUUCUCGUUCUAGGUCACACAGACAGUCACAGAGACCAGUUUUACCCCUGUUAGCCGUUAAGAGCCGCGCGUUUCCUGUUUGCACGCCGUUUCCAGACCAGUUUCCAACAUAGACUAGUUUUAUACUUUCAGAUAAGAAUGAGAGAGAGAGAGGAGCCCCGUUGAUGCCAGGUCGCUGCCGUCGUUCAACCUCACCGUCGUCGCACACAGGAAGUCGUCGCCGGUAAGUCCACACACACUUUGAAGAUCAAAGGUGAACAACCCCUGCUAUUUUACUCUUGAAUUUGAAAACUGCAUUAAAACCCAACAAAACAAACAUUUUUAAGCUAUGGAAGUCCAUAGAAAACCAAACCCCCUUCUUAACUGUACGAUUGAAUAAAGCCAGAGAAAUAAACGGUACUUUAAAUUCCAAAAAAAA